GGGCUAUUAGCUCAGUGGUAGAGCGCGCCCCUGAUAAUGGCGAGGUCUCUGGUUCAAGUCCAGGAUGGCCCAG
rnacentral:tRNA from 1 species